rnacentral:rRNA from 1 species
UACGUAGGGAGCGAGCGUUGUCCGGAUUUAUUGGGCGUAAAGAGCUCGUAGGUGGUUCAGCAAGUCGGGUGUGAAAGCUCUGGGCUCAACCCAGAGAUGCCACCCGAUACUGCUGUGACUAGAGUCUGGUAGGGGAUCGCGGAAUUCCAGGUGUAGCGGUGAAAUGCACAGAUAUCUGGAGGAACACCAGCGGCGAAGGCGGCGAUCUGGGCCAGUACUGACACUGAGGAGCGAAAGCGUGGGGAGCGAACAGG